UACGUAGGUGGCGAGCGUUGUCCGGAUUCAUUGGGCGUAAAGCGCGCGCAGGUGGUGCGGUAAGUCUGUCGUGAAAUCUCCCGGCUCAACUGGGAGGGUGCGGUGGAGACUGCCGGACUGGAGGCACUCAGAGGCCGGUGGAAUUCCCGGUGUAGUGGUGAAAUGCGUAGAGAUCGGGAGGAACACCAGUGGCGAAGGCGGCCGGCUGGGGGUGACCUGACGCUGAGACGCGAAAGCGUGGGGAACGAACAGG
rnacentral:rRNA from 1 species